UGCCCCAUAGUCUGGGAUACCACUUGGAAACAGGUGCUAAUACCGGAUAAGAAAGCAGAUCGCAUGAUCAGCUUUUAAAAGGCGGCGUAAGCUGUCGCUAUGGGAUGGCCCCGCGGUGCAUUAGCUAGUUGGUAAGGUAAAGGCUUACCAAGGCGAUGAUGCAUAGCCGAGUUGAGAGACUGAUCGGCCACAUUGGGACUGAGACACGGCCCAAACUCCUACGGGAGGCAGCAGGC
rnacentral:rRNA from 1 species